rnacentral:rRNA from 1 species
CCCGCCAAGACCGGACGUAACUCCGGGAACCGGAGGCUAAUACCGGAUAACACCGAAGACCGCGACUGGUCUUCGGUUGAAAGGCGGCCUUUGGGUCGUGUCACUUGCGGAUGGGCCCGCGGCGCAUUAGCCAGUUGGUGAGGUAACGGCUCACCAAGGCGACGAUGCGUAGCCGGCCUGAGAGGGUGACCGGCCACACUGGGACUGAGACACGGCCCAGACUCCUACGGGAGGCAGCAGUAGGGAAUCUUCCGCAAUGGGCGAAAGCCUGACGGAGCGACGCCGCGUGAGCGAAGAAGGCCUUCGGGUCGUAAGGCUCUGUUGUGAGGGACGAAGGAGCGCCGUUCGAAGAGGGCGGCGCGGUGACGGUACCUCACGAGAAAGCCCCGGCUAACUACGUG